rnacentral:sRNA from 1 species
AUUCGUUUUUUUUGUGUGUUUCAACUUUCAAGCAUGAACAUAAUUAGUAUUUCUACUGUACCUUCUUUUACCAUAUUUCAAUGAGUAUCUACAUAAAAUAGCCAUGGAUUCAAAAAAAAUUAAGAGAAUAGCCAUGAGCUACAGGGGUAAGUCGGAAACACAUGUAAUUUUACAUGUAUAACCUUAGACAUCAAAGCGACAAGACACUGUUUGGGGAGCGUAUGAUUCUGGGUUUGAAAUUUGAAUUCUAUUGCAUUAUUCGGCCCAAGUUUGUCUCACGACCAAAGUAAUAACCCUAAAAUUAAAAAAAAAA